rnacentral:rRNA from 1 species
GACGAACGCUGGCGGCGUGCCUAAUACAUGCAUGUUGAGCGCUGAAGGUUGGUACUUGUACCAACUGGAUGAGCAGCGAACGGGUGAGUAACGCGUGGGGAAUCUGCCUUUGAGCGGGGGACAACAUUUGGAAACGAAUGCUAAUACCGCAUAAAAACUUUAAACACAAGUUUUAAGUUUGAAAGAUGCAAUUGCAUCACUCAAAGAUGAUCCCGCGUUGUAUUAGCUAGUUGGUGAGGUAAAGGCUCACCAAGGCCAUGAUACAUAGCCGACCUGAGAGGGUGAUCGGCCACAUUGGGACUGAGACACGGCCCAAACUCCUACGGGAGGCAGCAGUAGGGAAUCUUCGGCAAUGGACGAAAGUCUGACCGAGCAACGCCGCGUGAGUGAAGAAGGUUUUCGGAUCGUAAAACUCUGUUGGUAGAGAAGAACGUUGGUGAGAGUGGAAAGCUCAUCAAGUGACGGUAACUACCCAGAAAGGGACGGCUAACUACGUG